rnacentral:ncRNA from 13 species
AAAACGCAUGGCGGGUGCCCGGGUUUCUCCCUUUCUCUUGGUCACGAACUCGUUCCUCGACUUCGGUCGGGGGCUUUUUUUUGUAAUCAGAGAAGGUGGGAUUCCUAGUGGCUGAGAUCACACCGUUCAAACUUGAUCUGGAUAAUUCCAGCGAAAGGACAUGCUAUUUCCCUACC